AUGCAUAUGACGAUGCUCUCGGUAUCCACUUGAUGUAAAAGUAACAUCGAGUUUCUGAUGCA
rnacentral:sRNA from 1 species